ACGGAAGGCAGCAGUGGGGAAUAUUGGGCAAUGGGCGAAAGCCUGACCCAGCAACGCCGCGUGAAGGAAGAAGGUCCUCGGAUUGUAAACUUCUUUUAUCAGGGACGAAGAAAGUGACGGUACCUGAUGAAUAAGCCACGGCUAACUACGUGCCAGCAGCCGCGGUAAUACGUAGGUGGCGGGCGUUAUCCGGAUUUACUGGGUGUAAAGGGCGCGUAGGCGGGGAUGCAAGUCAGAUGUGAAAUCCAUGGGCUUAACUCAUGAACUGCAUUUGAAACUGUAUCUCUUGAGUGUCGGAGAGGUAGAUGGAAUUCCUAGUGUAGCGGUGAAAUGCGUAGAUAUUAGGAGGAACACCGAUGGCGAAGGCAGCUUGCUGGGCCGACACUGACGCUGAGGUGCGAAAGCGUGGGGAGCGAACAGGAUUAGAUACCCUGGUA
rnacentral:rRNA from 1 species